GUUGAAGAACGCAGCGAAAUGCGAUACGUAGUGUGAAUUGCAGAAUUCAGUGAAUCAUCGAAUCUUUGAACGCACAUUGCACCUCUCGGUAUUCCGGGAGGUAUGCCUGUUCGAGCGUCAUUUGUACCCUCAUGCUCUGCUUGGUGUUGGGUGUUUGUUCCGCCUCUGUGUGUGAACUCGCCUCAAAACAAUUGGCAGCCGGCGUACUUGUUUCGGAGCGCAGCACAUUUUGCGAUCCAGAUCAACGUACAGCGGCAUCCAAGAAGCCUUAUUUAACGCUCUUGACCUCGGAUCAGGUAGGGAUACCCGCUGAACUUAAGCAUAUCAAUAAGCGGAGGA
rnacentral:misc_RNA from 1 species